rnacentral:lncRNA from 1 species
AGAUCGUGACUCAUUGGCGUUAUUGGAUCAUUUGUGAUAAGGUUGGAAGCAAUUUAAGGUACGUUGAAACUUACUACCCUCAGAAUUUUUCUCCAAAACUCAUAUCGAAACACGAUUAAACUGAGUUUCAAAAUGCGAGUCCUAGCUUGUGGGAAUGAGUGAGAUGAGACUUUACCAUUCUUGCAUCAUAAAAGAUUUAAGUGAUAUUAAUAUUAUUUUCCUAAAAUGUUGUAUCUUAAUUAAAGAAAAAAACUAAAUAAAUAAGGAAUAGCACUUGUAGUAUUUUGAAAUGAAAAUACAUUAGUUGUAAAAUAUCUUGGAUAUAGUUAUUCUCAAAUAGUUGAUUUGGCUAUAAAUAUCAUCAUUGAUAAAUGUAAAGGUUUUGGGAGUUACUUAAAUUCAUUAAGAUUGACCUUGGACAUUUUUCCUCAUUAGGUCAUAAAACUACACGUGCCGGUGUAGGCGUAGAACCUACCUUAUGGUUGGGGACUACGGCAGAGUACUUCCCAUUAGGGAGUGCUACUUUAUUAGCAUGGCUGAGUCGAUUCGUGCGGCACAACGAUGAGAUGACCUGAGCAAGUAGAGUAUAUGAUACUUGCCGCUAGGUACAUAACCUAGUUGACCUUCUUUCGUGUUGAUGAUGGUAUAAUGCUCCCGGUAAAUAAAAAUUCUAACAUGAUUUUGCAAAGAUCAAUGAUAAAGGAAGACUUUGAAAUAUGUUUUACCAUAUUAUUGUGUUGUACUUUUUAAAUUGUUAAUUGAUAUGAAUACUUCUUUCUUGAUAUCAAUUAUUAUUGCAUAUCUUAUGUCUUCUUGAACAUCGUCCUAUUUUCUUUUUGGGGAAUGAUUCAUGAUUCGUACUAGGCAUGUGUAACUUAGGCCUUUCAGCCAAAUUUAUAUUUUUUAUUUUCAGGGACUAGACCUGAGCAACUUGGACCGUGUGGAUAGGGCAGCUCUACAUUUCCCGUUAACGUUCUUUGGUGAGACUCCACGCUUGUAUUUGUGGAGGACUUUAUUAUAUUAAAUCCUUUUAAGCCACCGGGUUAUGCCUUGGCUGACUAUUCCAUUUCGUGUUAUUGAGAUUCCAUAGACAACAAUAUAUUCAUUUUGGGUUGUAAUCUUAUGGUUACUUACAU